rnacentral:lncRNA from 1 species
UUUUCGAAGCUGUUGCCAGAAGAAAGGGACAAGUCAUAAAGUUUCCUACAAGUUACAACAAGGCAAAAAGUAACUUCUAUUCAAAACCAGUUUUCCCAGUACUGCAGAUUUCCAGGAGUUGUGGGUGCUGUUGAUGGGACACAUGUUUACAUCAGGAGCCCUGAUGGGGCAAGAGCCAGGUACUACAUCAAUAGCAAGAACAGGUACUCCAUCGAUGUUCAGUUUGUCUGUGAUCAUGCUGGGAAAAUAACUAGUAUCGUUGCAAGGUGGCCUGGACUGGUAGCAGCCACGAUACCAGGAUCUUUUCUGAGUGUGCACUGAAUUGACAGCUUGAUGCUAGGGCAAAUGAAUAACAGUUGAUUCUUGGAGAUAGACUAUAGGGUAUCCAUGCCUUCUCUGCCUCAUCAGAAGCCAUUUCUUUAUUCAGAGGAUCGACCACAGAUGUGCUUUAAAGGCCAUCUGCACUAGUUCAGUCAAAGAGGAUUAGACAAUCCAGCGAAGUCACUGACGGGUGGCUAUCUCAUCGAUUCAAUUCUCAAUUAACAUAAGAAAAAGAGGAUCAUGGGGGACCAAAAGGCACAUAUUGGGGUAGUUUUCUAUAUAGAGGGAGCAUGUAGAUACAAGUAGUACAGUGGGGCUUUAAAUCUUCACACACAAAAACGGGAGAUGUGCGAUUGAGCGCAUAUUUAUUAAAUGCAAGGAUGAGGACGUUCCAUGCCUCAAUCAAUCUAAGAGAGAAGUUCGACACUUCUUAAUUAUUGUUAUGCUUUUCUGUUGCCCAUAUUGGGGAAAUUCACAUUGUGCAAAUAUAGCAUUGGUUUGGCAAAGUAAAGCCUGAAACAGCUGACACUGGAGUUUACUAACAAGCAUUUAUUGCUUUCUUAGCUGUCAAGUAAAAUAACCACCACUAUCUAUCUAUUUAGUGAGCUAUACAUUAUUUGAUUAAGGAUUCCACAAACAUUUCCAAUAUAUACGGUAAUAAGUUAUAAAAUACAGAUUUAACUCAAUUGCAACUGGAAUUACCUCAAAAUGUAUUUCAAAAUACGGCCCCUCCCUGGUGUUCCCACAAUACUUCGUAGUUUAUGCAGCAUUACAUCAACAACCUGGGUGUUGAACUGUUGAUUAUCGAUCCGUUAAAACUCUUAAGAGGUAAUUCGAUUUUUUUUUUGUUAUGCCAAAAACUGCUGAUGUAGGCACUGUCUCAUCAAUGUUGUUAUUUUUGAGGUAAUUGUGAUCUCUGUUGACUUUCAAGCCCGCAAGUCACUACAAGGUAAAUGACGGACAUCAUUUUUUUUUGGACAUGUAUUAUAAAGUAUUUGGUUUCUAGAGGUUUUAAAUAUUACUGAUUGACUGCCUAAUAUCUGCUGAUACAAAUGUUUCAGUUAACAAUACUAAAAGACUUUGUAGUGAGAAAAAUAACAAUUUUGUGGUGACAUAAAAGAUUUACCACAUGGUCUGAAUGUAACAGUUCAAUUUAAGUGUUUUGUUUGAUCCAUGAUAUAAUAUAAACAAAAACAAUUUUGCGAUUCGAUUUUCACUUUGCAUAAGGUCUAAACCGUCAAAUGCGUCAUAUGACGCACAUAAUCCUAGGACUGUCUACAAACCUCUUUUGGGAAUUCGGGCCAAUAUGACCCAAUUUCAAAAGUCACAUUAACUUGCGCAUACCUGUAAAUUGUGAAACAGCACAUAUGCUUGAAUACAUUGAAUAUGUUUUGUGAAACAAACAUGUUUGAAAUUCCAUCCAUAAAAAAAAAGUAUAAUUGCACAUGUGGUUAAAUGUAUUUAUUGUGAUUUUACACU